UGCAAGUCGAGCGAACAGAAGGGAGCUUGCUCCCGGAUGUUAGCGGCGGACGGGUGAGUAACACGUGGGUAACCUGCCUGUAAGACUGGGAUAACUCCGGGAAACCGGAGCUAAUACCGGAUAGUUCCUUGAACCGCAUGGUUCAAGGAUGAAAGACGGUUUCGGCUGUCACUUACAGAUGGACCCGCGGCGCAUUAGCUAGUUGGUGGGGUAAUGGCUCACCAAGGCGACGAUGCGUAGCCGACCUGAGAGGGUGAUCGGCCACACUGGGACUGAGACACGGCCCAGACUCCUACGGGAGGCAGCAGUAGGGAAUCUUCCGCAAUGGACGAAAGUCUGACGGAGCAACGCCGCGUGAGUGAUGAAGGUUUUCGGAUCGUAAAGCUCUGUUGUUAGGGAAGAACAAGUGCGAGAGUAACUGCUCGCACCUUGACGGUACCUAACCAGAAAGCCACGGCUAACUACGUGCCAGCAGCCGCGGUAAUACGUAGGUGGCAAGCGUUGUCCGGAAUUAUUGGGCGUAAAGGGCUCGCAGGCGGUUUCUUAAGUCUGAUGUGAAAGCCCCCGGCUCAACCGGGGAGGGUCAUUGGAAACUGGGAAACUUGAGUGCAGAAGAGGAGAGUGGAAUUCCACGUGUAGCGGUGAAAUGCGUAGAGAUGUGGAGGAACACCAGUGGCGAAGGCGACUCUCUGGUCUGUAACUGACGCUGAGGAGCGAAAGCGUGGGGAGCGAACAGGAUUAGAUACCCUGGUAGUCCACGCCGUAAACGAUGAGUGCUAAGUGUUAGGGGGUUUCCGCCCCUUAGUGCUGCAGCUAACGCAUUAAGCACUCCGCCUGGGGAGUACGGUCGCAAGACUGAAACUCAAAGGAAUUGACGGGGGCCCGCACAAGCGGUGGAGCAUGUGGUUUAAUUCGAAGCAACGCGAAGAACCUUACCAGGUCUUGACAUCCUCUGACAACCCUAGAGAUAGGGCUUUCCCUUCGGGGACAGAGUGACAGGUGGUGCAUGGUUGUCGUCAGCUCGUGUCGUGAGAUGUUGGGGUUAAGUCCCGCAACGAGCGCAACCCUUUGAUCUUAGUUGCCAGCAUUUAGUUGGGCACUCUAA
rnacentral:rRNA from 1 species